rnacentral:rRNA from 1 species
GACGAACGCUGGCGGCGUGCCUAAUACAUGCAAGUUGAGCGCUGAAGGUUGGUACUUGUACCAACUGGAUGAGCAGCGAACGGGUGAGUAACGCGUGGGGAAUCUGCCUUUGAGCGGGGGACAACAUUUGGAAACGAAUGCUAAUACCGCAUAAAAACUUUAAACACAAGUUUUAAGUUUGAAAGAUGCAAUUGCAUCACUCAAAGAUGAUCCCGCGUUGUAUUAGCUAGUUGGUGAGGUAAAGGCUCACCAAGGCGAUGAUACAUAGCCGACCUGAGAGGGUGAUCGGCCACAUUGGGACUGAGACACGGCCCAAACUCCUACGGGAGGCUGCAGUAGGGAAUCUUCGGCAAUAGACGAAAGUCUGACCGAGCAACGCCGCGUGAGUGAAGAAGGUUUUCGGAUCGUAAAACUCUGUUGGUAGAGAAGAACGUUGGUGAGAGUGGAAAGCUCAUCAAGUGACGGUAACUACCCAGAAAGGGACGGCUAACUACGUG